AAUUUCUAUAAAUUUUACCUGGUUAUUUUUACACGAAAUGAUGUGAGCUACAUAUAAAGGGACAGUUACGUUGUAUAGUAAUAAUUUCAUAUAUAUGUAGGGGUGAUAGUCCUGUCAAGCGUCGAGAUAACUUGUUGCAAAUGAAAUAUAUUAAGUAUAUAAGACAUACUAUAAAAGUUAAGCUUUAUAGUUUAAACUAAAGUUGUUCUAUGUAGCUAUUAUAUAGUUUAACUGCUAAUAUCUUUUAUUAUAGUAAUAUUUAUUAUAUUAUUUUGUUUUGUUUAAUUUGCUAUAUUUACUUUUGAGUGUAUAUAUAAUGCAAUUAUGAGUAACAACGUAAACUCUAUUUAAGGAACUCGGCAAAUAACUUCUCAACUGUUUAUCAAAAACAUAACUAUAUGAUAUAAUAUAUAGCUUUUUCUGCUCCAUGGUUUACUAAAUAGCCGCAGUACCCUGACUGUGCAAAGGUAGCAUAAUCAAUUGGCUUCUAAUUAAAGUCUUGUAUGAAUGAAUUUAUGGGAAGUGACUGUCUAAAUAGAUUUAUUUGAAUUUAGUAAGUAAGUGCAAAUACUUAUACGAAUAAGAAGGACGAGAAGACCCUAGAAACUUAAUAAUUAUUUUGUUGGGGCGACAGAAUUACAAAGGAACUAAUUUUACUUAUACUUGACGUAUAGCAGAUAGACCAAGUUACUUUAGGGAUAACAGCAUAAUUCUACCGUUUGUGACCUCGAUGUUGGACUAGGUAAAUAACUCUUUAGAAGAGAGAUUAUUCUGCUCUGUUCGAGCAGCCCUACCUACAUGAUCUGAGUUCAGACCGG
rnacentral:rRNA from 1 species